rnacentral:rRNA from 1 species
UGGGGAAUAUUGCACAAUGGGCGCAAGCCUGAUGCAGCAACGCCGCGUGAACGAUGAAGGUCUUCGGAUCGUAAAGUUCUGUUGCAGGGGAAGAUAAUGACGGUACCCUGUGAGGAAGCCCCGGCUAACUACGUGCCAGCAGCCGCGGUAAUACGUAGGGGGCUAGCGUUAUCCGGAUUUACUGGGCGUAAAGGGUGCGUAGGUGGUCCUUCAAGUCGGUUGUUAAAGGCUACGGCUCAACCGUAGUAAGCCGCCGAAACUGGAGGACUUGAGUGCAGGAGAGGAAAGUGGAAUUCCCAGUGUAGCGGUGAAAUGCGUAGAUAUUGGGAGGAACACCAGUAGCGAAGGCGGCUUUCUGGACUGCAACUGACACUGAGGCACGAAAGCGUGGGUAGCAAACAGG